rnacentral:rRNA from 1 species
UACGUAGGUGGCGAGCGUUGUCCGGAUUUACUGGGCGUAAAGAGCGCGCAGGCGGUCGUACAAGUCGCGUGUGAAAGCCCCCGGCUCAACUGGGGAGGGUCAUUCGAUACUGAUCGACUCGAAGGCAGGAGAGGGUAGUGGAAUUCCCGGUGUAGUGGUGAAAUGCGUAGAUAUCGGGAGGAACACCAGUGGCGAAGGCGACUUCCUGGCCUGUUCUUGACGCUGAGGCACGAAAGCUAGGGGAGCAAACGGG